rnacentral:rRNA from 1 species
GAUGAACGCUGGCGGCGUGCCUAAUACAUGCAAGUCGAGCGAACGGACGAGAAGCUUGCUUCUCUGAUGUUAGCGGCGGACGGGUGAGUAACACGUGGAUAACCUACCUAUAAGACUGGGAUAACUUCGGGAAACCGGAGCUAAUACCGGAUAAUAUUUUGAACCGCAUGGUUCAAAAGUGAAAGAAGGUCUUGCUGUCACUUAUAGAUGGAUCCGCGCUGCAUUAGCUAGUUGGUAAGGUAACGGCUUACCAAGGCAACGAUGCAUAGCCGACCUGAGAGGGGGAUCGGCCACACUGGAACUGAGACACGGUCCAGACUCCUACGGGAGGCAGCAGUAGGGAAUCUUCCGCAAUGGGCGAAAGCCUGACGGAGCAACGCCGCGUGAGUGAUGAAGGUCUUCGGAUCGUAAAACUCUGUUAUUAGGGAAGAACAUAUGUGUAAGUAACUGUGCACAUCUUGACGGUACCUAAUCAGAAAGCCACGGCUAACUACGUG